GUGCUUGCUUCAGCAGCACAUAUACUAAAUUGGAACAAUACGGAGAUUACCGUGGCCCCUGGGCAAGGAUGACAUGCAAAUUUGUGAAGCGUUCUAUAUUUUU
ensembl:snRNA U6 U6 spliceosomal RNA